AAUGUUGAACUGUUCAAAUUCAGAAAAUCAACCUAGAUUUUGGAAUGAAAGAAGAAAAUCCAGUGGAAAGACUCAAAGUUUAUUCCAAGCACAAUUUAAACUCUGCCAGACAUUUGAAAAAAGAGGAGGCAAGUAUUAUUCUUGGACCUACCAAAUUCAAUGAGAUCCUGGUGCGAGUGUAUAGCAAAGAUAAAGACGCGAAAAAGUGCAGAAUACUUUAUGAAGCAGCAAGAGCCACUAUUACAGU
rnacentral:sRNA from 1 species